UUUCACACUUGCUGUCUGGUUACCCUGACCCCCCACCACCCACCCACACAAUUAAGGUUUGUGUUCACUAACAGAAAGUGCAUUGUUUAGCCCAGGCUACCUGCGGCGGAGUAGCGAGCCUGCUGUGACUCCUAAUAGAAAUGAGGUUGUUAUGGUCUUUACCACAAGGUAGCUAGAGGAGUUGAACCACAGGCCAGGGUAUAGUGCUGAACGUGCCUAGCUCCUUGGGAAAAACAACAAAAUCCACUACAGUUUUCCAGCUGGGAAAAUCAUCUUUUUGUGGUGAAGACAAAGCCUGAGUGGGACAGGGUUCUUCCUCCUGCACCUCUAUUUGCUCGUUUGCCUAUCAGCCAUUAAAGCAAUGUCACUCCACUUCCCCUCUGCUGUAUGUCAGGAACUUAUUUAUUAAUUUAGUAUUUGCAUAUUUGCUAGGCAAUAGCAUUUUUAGUGGCCAAGUGGAGCUCACUGCUGAAUUUGGUUAGCAAGCACUCCUUGACAACGUAUAUUAGUGUUCGAUCUGCACCACAGCUUGGAUUGUCUCGAAGACCCCAACAGUGCUGGUUAGCUGCACAAAGGCCUUGCCCAGUCUGGAAUCAGUUAAGAAAGACCCACUGACGACAUGGCAUGUCAAAGCCAGACGGGUGAGCAGUAGCGCCUGUGACAAGGUACUGAUUGUUGGUCGAUGCUAAGCAGCAGUCUUCCCGCCACAGGGACUCCACUGUCACCUCCUGUCAUGGCAGCUUCAAGCACAGUGAGUGUCGUGAUGAAAGACCUGUAGCUGGUGGGCUAAAAAGCAUGUCAUACAUCCAGACUGGAGGUACUAUUCAGCUGAAUCAGCUAACGUUUCUACAGCACUUUAAUAAUGUGAAGCAGCGAGUUCUCUGAGGAGAGGGGAAGAAAAAAAAUCUUUAUGCCAAAGGAAGAUUUAAAUCUUCAAAUUACUUUCUUCAUCCUAAGCGGGAAAAAAACCCAUUACGGUAACUAAAUCACAUUGCAGUCGAUUAUGAUCCCACAGAUGGCAUGUACUGCAACAGGGCCAUAAUGGCAAAGAGAAAUGAGGUAUGCAGUCCAGCCCACUCUUAAUAACAUGUCCGAAGGGGGACAGGACAUGUUUGUUACUAGAUCAAUUGUGCAAAUUUAGCUUGUUUCUUCUUUCUACUCCAUUUGGUAGCAUUCUCGGGGAAAACAUCCUAUAUACAUGUUAAUAUAGGAAACGCUUUAUAAAGCGGUCAGCAUUCUGUGAAUUACUAGUAACCUUAGCCCUUAAAAUAAUCCUUCAACAGUGGAAGGAUCCAAACACCAUUUCACAAAGACCACAAAAUCUAUUUCAACUCUUUGAUUUGAAGAUAUAAUGCUCUCCAGCCUAUCAAGAUUAAAUCAUUCCUCAACUCUUGAUGCUCUGGCUGAAUCUUGUCUGUACUGAUCAGGAUUGUGCCGUACUUGUUUUCGUAUGCUCCACUGGGAUAUUGUACACUUUAUGGGCAAGUUCUUGGUAUCUGUUUGCUUCACGUCAUGUAAAAUUAAAGCUAACCCAGAGCCCAAUAUAGGGCUUUUUUUUUAAUGGAGAGAAACCAACUGGUGAGGUGAGGAAAAUUAUAAGCUGCACAGCUUUACCACACACUCAACCAACCAGCUACUGAGGCUCCUUGAAGAUCUCUCUCCCCCUUCCACACUAUCCUCAAAAAGCUUUGCUGAAGCAGAAUUUACCAAAGAAAGAAACUGAAAACACCAGGUGCAGUUUCUGGGAAGAGAAGCGGGGUCAUGACUCGAAUCAGCUUUGCUGUGGCCGGGUUCCAUCUCUCAGAAAAAAAUUGGGACGUGAUUAAGUCUCCACUCAUGAGGCUA